CGGACCGACAGGCUUUCAACCCUACUUUGAGCUCUCAAAAUAAUUUAUUUUGGGACGACAGUAGACGGUGGCUUGGGCAAAAUCUCCCAUUACAGAAUAUUACUGUGGGUAGAAAAUAACCAGCCGAACAAAAUCUCUCAGUCGUCGACGCCGAUUUCUAACUUCGUACUCCCCUAGUGCACAGAGUAUACUCUCAAUCUCUCCAACAAUCCCCUGAUUUCUCCUCUCGCUGCUCAAUUGUUCGUCAUUUCUUUGAGGUCCGGCCAAUCCCUGCCGCUAGGUGCUGCCACUUUCAUUCUCACCAGACUGCCGAUUAAUUCCAACGCCAGGAAAGGCGAUUAUUGAAUGGCAGAGACAGUAUCAGUAAUAGGCCAAAACACUCAAUACUAUGAGGAAAAAAAGGGAAAAACAAAAUGCAAGAAAAAGAGAGGAUUUAAAUUCAAGGGAUGAGCCAAUCCCUUUUCUAAACCUAAUGUUCAAAGUGGAUGAGCUGAAACCAAACCUGCUGUUGAAUAUGCCCGCUAGAGCACAACCCACAAGAGACUGGUUGGAAAUAAUCUUUUCCCACCGAUUAUGGGGGGUUAGCCUCGGUAUGCCUCCGCGACAAAAGGACAAAUAUGUUGUAGUAGAUCUAAUCUACCAUGCCAAUGCUCGAAAUUCGAAUCAAAUACAUAAUUGAUGACAACAGAAACAACUGAAUCACUGACUGCACUAACUUAUGACUAUUGUGGGACAUAAACUCUAACUAUUAUUGUACCCUUUCCAAUCAUCUUCCAUGGGUUAGGAUCUAUGUAUAAAAAAUAUCAGGCAUAAAUAUAAAACGGCAUUUCUGGUGAGAAA